UGGGGAAUCUUGCGCAAUGCGCGAAAGCGUGACGCAGCAACGCCGCGUGGGGGAAGAAGGCUUUCGGGUUGUAAACCCCUUUCAGUUGGGACGAAGCUUCGGCGGUGAAUAGCCGACCGGAGUGACGGUACCUUCACAAGAAGCACCGGCUAACUACGUGCCAGCAGCCGCGGUAAUACGUAGGGUGCAAGCGUUGUCCGGAAUUAUUGGGCGUAAAGAGCGUGUAGGCGGCCCCAUUAGUCCGCUGUGAAAGUCCAGGGCUCAACCCUGGAAUGCCGGUGGAUACUGUGGGGCUAGAGUCCGGAAGGGGCGAGUGGAAUUCCUGGUGUAGCGGUGAAAUGCGCAGAUAUCAGGAGGAACACCAAUGGCGAAGGCAGCUCGCUGGGACGUGACUGACGCUGAGACGCGAAAGCGUGGGGAGCAAACAG
rnacentral:rRNA from 1 species